GGAGGCGAAUGGGGCCUGGUGGCUUCCGCGGUCUUCAAAACCGUCGUGGGGGGUGAAGAGCCUCCUGGGUGUGUUCGAUUCGCACGCGCCUCCGCCA
rnacentral:tRNA from 1 species